CCUUUUGAGACACAUUUUGAUUCAAAGAGAAAUGACCUUUCUAUAGGCUAUGAAUGUGUAAGAAAUUGAAGCUGUCUGGUGACCUUGAUAAGAAUCUCAUCCUGUUUGUCACACCGAGAGCGGGUCUUUGUGGGGACUUUGACCGGAGGCGAAUCCUGGGUCAACCUCUUGCUGUCAUUCUGCUCUCCUUUCUCCCUCCUCCCAUUAUUUACACCUCCCAGGAGUGAAAAACCACAAUGCAACUCUGUGUGUGACCUAGAGUCAGUGAAAGCAGAAGCACCAGCCUGCUCAUUUCAGAGGGAGAUUGAGGGGGUUGGGAUACCUCUCUCAUCUGACAGCACUAUCUGAAAGCUUGUUGAUGGAGGAAAUACAAACAAGGGUCCACUAGAGCCAAGGUCACAUCAGAGAAGGUUCAGUGAAAACUUUGAUCUGCUGGAGGAAACGUCAGAGUAUCACCGAAUCUGGACCAAAGUGAUGGACCAACUGACUGCCAUUGGCAUCCCUGGAGCCAUGCUGUUAGCAUGCAAGCAAGAUUGUGACCAUCAACAUUAUAACAACCAACCAACCAACGUCUGAAAAUGUCCGAUCUCACUACAUGCGCAGCUUCCCAGCAGGAAGUACUGAGACACUAUGUUGUUGUGACCUUUACAGAAAACUCAAAAAGUAAAGUAAACUUAUUUCAUUAUUAACUCAGAA